GAACGGGUGAGUAACACGUGAGCAACCUGCCCCUGACUCCGGGAUAAGCGGUGGAAACGCCGUCUAAUACCGGAUACGACCCUCCUCCGCAUGGUGGGGGGUGGAAAGUUUUUUCGGUCGGGGAUGGGCUCGCGGCCUAUCAGCUUGUUGGUGGGGUAACGGCCUACCAAGGCGAUUACGGGUAGCCGGCCUGAGAGGGCGACCGGCCACACUGGGACUGAGACACGGCCCAGACUCCUGCGGGAGGCAGCAGUGGGGAAUAUUGCGCAAUGGGCGAAAGCCUGACGCAGCGACGCCGCGUGGGGGAUGACGGCCUUCGGGUUGUAAACCUCUUUUACCACUCACGCAGGCCCCACGUUUUCGUGGGGUUGACGGUAGGUGGGGAAUAAGGACCGGCUAACUACGUGCCAGCAGCCGCGGUAAUACGUAGGGUCCGAGCGUUGUCCGGAAUUAUUGGGCGUAAAGAGCUCGUAGGCGGCGUGUCGCGUCUGCUGUGAAAGACCGGGGCUUAACCCCGGUUCUGCAGUGGAUACGGGCAUGCUAGAGGUAGGUAGGGGAGACUGGAAUUCCUGGUGUAGCGGUGAAAUGCGCAGAUAUCAGGAGGAACACCGGUGGCGAAGGCGGGUCUCUGGGCCUUACCUGACGCUGAGGAGCGAAAGCAUGGGGAGCGAACAGGAUUAGAUACCCUGGUAGUCCAUGCCGUAAACGUUGGGCGCUAGGUGUGGGGACUUUCCACGGUUUCCGCGCCGUAGCUAACGCAUUAAGCGCCCCGCCUGGGGAGUACGGCCGCAAGGCUA
rnacentral:rRNA from 1 species